GACGAACGCUGGCGGCGUGCCUAAUACAUGCAAGUCGAACGAGAAUUUUUUACACCGAGUGCUUGCACUCACCGUAAGAAAUUCGAGUGGCGGACGGGUGAGUAACACGUGGGUAACCUGCCCAAAAGAAGGGGAUAACAUUUGGAAACAAAUGCUAAUACCGUAUAACCAUGAUGACCCCAUGGUCAUUAUGUAAAAGGUGGUUUUGCUAUCGCUUUUGGAUGGACCCGCGGCGUAUUAACUAGUUGGUAGGGUAACGGCCUACCAAGGUGAUGCUACGUAGCCGAGUUGAGAGUCUGAUCGGCCACAAUGGGACUGAGACACGGCCCAUACUCCUACGGGAGGCAGCAGUAGGGAAUCUUCCACAAUGGGCGCAAGCCUGAUGGAGCAACGCCGCGUGAAUGAAGAAGGUCUUCGGAUCGUAAAAUUCUGUUGUUAGAGAAGAAUAUGAGUAAUAGUAACUGAUUAUUCACUGACGGUAUCUAACCAGCAAGUCACGGCUAACUACGUGCCAGCAGCCGCAGUAA
rnacentral:rRNA from 1 species